AGAGUUUGAUCCUGGCUCAGAACGAACGCUGGCGGCGUGCCUAACACAUGCAAGUCGAGCGCGAAAGGAGCAAUCCGAGUAGAGCGGCGCACGGGUGCGUAACACGUGGGUAAUCUGCCUUAGAGUCGAGGAUAACUUUCCGAAAGGUUAGCUAAUACUCGGUAAGCUUACGGUGUCUUCGGACGCUGUGGGAAAAGUAGGCCUCUAUUUAUAAGCUUACGCUCUGAGAUGAGCCCGCGGCCCAUCAGCUAGUUGGCGGUGUAACGGACCACCAAGGCAACGACGGGUAGCUGGUCUGAGAGGACGAUCAGCCACACUGGAACUGAGACACGGUCCAGACUCCUACGGGAGGCAGCAGUGGGGAAUUUUCCACAAUGGGCGAAAGCCUGAUGGAGCAACGCCGCGUGUGUGAUGAAGGUUUUCGGAUCGUAAAGCACUUUCGACCGGGACGAAAAACCUCUGGCUAACAUCCAGGGGCCUGACGGUACCGGGAGAAGAAGCACCGGCUAACUCUGUGCCAGCAGCCGCGGUAAUACAGAGGGUGCAAGCGUUGUUCGGAAUUAUUGGGCGUAAAGCGCGUGUAGGCGGCUUGGCAAGUCAGAUGUGAAAGCCCUCGGCUUAACCGAGGAAGUGCGUCUGAAACUGCUGAGCUUGAGUGUCGGAGAGGAUGGCGGAAUUCCGCAAGUAGAGGUGAAAUUCGUAGAUAUGCGGAGGAACACCGGUGGCGAAGGCGGCCAUCUGGACGACUACUGACGCUGAGACGCGAAAGCGUGGGGAGCAAACAGGAUUAGAUACCCUGG
rnacentral:rRNA from 1 species